AGAUGAAACAUGCUGUGCUGGUUUCUGAAAACCAAGAAGCCUGGAGAGAAAUUUAUGACUUUGAAACAAAAUUUAGAGGUUGAAGGAUUUAGCAGUUUGCAAAGAACAUGGAGCUAAGCCCUUGAAAAAGGCUGUUCAAAAAGUCCUGGCCUAAAGUGCCAAGGUCGUUUUCAGAAGUCCCCGCAGAAGCUCUUAGGAAUCGGAAAGCGUAAAAAUGGGGAGAGAGUAUUUUGAAGACAUCUUUCCCCUGAAAGCUGUUGCUUGUGAGCCUGUGCAUUUUCCCACACGAAUAUGCUCGGCCGUUAUGUUAGCCAGGCAUUUCCUGCAUGCGGCAGUUCUGGAGGCCGGAAGUCCAGGGUCAAGGUGACAGUGGAUUCGUUUCCUGGUGAGGACCCUCUUCCUGGUUUGUACAUGUGAUUCCUAGCAGUCUCCAUUUUGAAGUUCUCUUCUCCUUUGACCAAGCGUCCAGCACAUCCUCACAACACUCCAAAGCCACCUUGAAGACUCUCUUCAAAGCAGUUCUUACUGUUGAUACCACCACCAUUGUUCCGA
rnacentral:lncRNA from 1 species